AUGACAUCACAAUACCCCGUAAUGACCUCACAAUACCCCGUAAUGACAUCUCAAUACCCCGUAAUGACAUCACAAUACCCCGUAAUGACAUCACAAUACCCCCCCGUAAUGACAUUACAAUACCCCGUAAUGACAUUACAAUACCCCGUAAUGACAUCACAAUACCCCGUAAUGACAUCACAAUACCCCGUAAUGACAUUACAAUACCACCCCGUAAUGACAUUACAAUACCCCGUAAUGACAUCACAAUACCCCGUAAUGACAUCACAAUACCCCGUAAUGACAUCACACUACCCCGUAAUGACAUCACAAUACCACCCCGUAAUGACAUCACAAUACCACCCCGUAAUGACAUUACAAUACCCCGUAAUGACAUCACAAUACCCCGUAAUGACAUCACAAUACCCCGUAAUGACAUCACAAUACCCCGUAAUGACAUCACAAUACCCCGUAAUGACAUCACAAUACCACCCCGUAAUGACAUUACAAUACCACCCCGUAAUGACAUUACAAUACCACCCCGUAAUGACAUCACAAUACCCCGUAAUGACAUCACAAUACCCCGUAAUGACAUUACAAUACCCCGUAAUGACAUCACAAUACCACCCCGUAAUGACAUCACAAUACCACCCCGUAAUGACAUCACAAUACCACCCCGUAAUGACAUCACAAUACCACCCCGUAAUGACAUUACAAUACCCCGUAAUGACAUCACAAUACCACCCCGUAAUGACAUCGCAAUACCACCCCGUAAUGACAUCACAAUACCACCCCGUAAUGACAUCACAAUACCACCCCGUAAUGACAUCACAAUACCACCCUGUAAUGACAUCACAAUACCACCCCGUAAUGACAUCACAAUACCACCCCGUAAUGACAUCACAAUACCACCCCGUAAUGACAUCACAAUACCACCCCGUAAUGACAUCACAAUACCACCCCGUAAUGACAUCACAAUACCACCCCGUAAUGACAUCACAAUACCACCCCGUAAUGACAUCACAAUACCACCCCGUAAUGACCUCACAAUACCACCCCGUAAUGACCUCACAAUACCACCCCGUAAUGACCUCACAAUAUCACCCCGUAAUGACAUCACAAUACCACCCCGUAAUGACAUCACAAUACCACCCCGUAAUGACAUCACAAUACCACCCCGUAAUGACAUCACAAUACCACCCCGUAAUGACAUCACAAUACCACCCCCGUAAUGACAUCACAAUACCACCCCGUAAUGACAUCACAAUACCCCGUAAUGACAUCACAAUACCACCCCGUAAUGACCUCACAAUACCACCCCGUAAUGACCUCACAAUACCACCCCGUAAUGACCUCACAAUACCACCCCGUAAUGACCUCACAAUACCACCCCGUAAUGACCUCACAAUACCACCCCGUAAUGACCUCACAAUACCACCCCGUAAUGACCUCACAAUACCACCCCGUAAUGACCUCACAAUACCACCCCGUAAUGACAUUACAAUACCACCCCGUAAUGACAUUACAAUACCCCCGUAA
rnacentral:lncRNA from 1 species